ACGAACGCUGGCGGCGUGCUUAACACAUGCAAGUCGAACGGAAAGGCCCCUUUGGGGGUACUCGAGUGGCGAACGGGUGAGUAACACGUGAGUAACCUGCCCUUGACUUCGGGAUAACUUCAGGAAACUGGGGCUAAUACCGGAUAGGAAUCCUUGCUGCAUGGUGGGGGUUGGAAAGCUUCGGCGGUUUUGGAUGGACUCGCGGCUUAUCAGCUUGUUGGUGGGGUAGUGGCUUACCAAGUCUUUGACGGGUAGCCGGCCUGAGAGGGCGACCGGCCACAUUGGGACUGAGAUACGGCCCAGACUCCUACGGGAGGCAGCAGUGGGGAAUAUUGCACAAUGGGCGGAAGCCUGAUGCAGCAACGCCGCGUGCGGGAUGACGGCCUUCGGGUUGUAAACCGCUUUCAGCAGGGGCGAAGCUUGUGGUGACGGUACCUGCAGAAGAAGCACCGGCUAACUACGUG
rnacentral:rRNA from 1 species